rnacentral:rRNA from 1 species
AGCAGUCGCCACGGGAAUACGUAGGGUGCGAGCGUUAAUCGGAAUUACUGGGCGUAAAGCGUGCGCAGGCGGUUAUGUAAGACAGGUGUGAAAUCCCCGGGCUUAACCUGGGAACUGCGCUUGUGACUGCACAGCUAGAGUAUGGCAGAGGGGGGUGGAAUUCCACGUGUAGCAGUGAAAUGCGUAGAGAUGUGGAGGAACACCGAUGGCGAAGGCAGCCCCCUGGGCCAAUACUGACGCUCAUGCACGAAAGCGUGGGGAGCAAACAGGAUUAGAUACCCCUGUAGUCCCUGUCUCUUAUAC